rnacentral:rRNA from 1 species
UCUUCCGCAAUGGACGAAAGUCUGACGGAGCAACGCCGCGUGAGUGAUGAAGGUUUUCGGAUCGUAAAACUCUGUUGUUAGGGAAGAACAAGUACCGUUCGAAUAGGGCGGUACCUUGACGGUACCUCACCAGAAAGCCACGGCUAACUACGUGCCAGCAGCCGCGGUAAUACGUAGGUGGCAAGCGUUGUCCGGAAUUAUUGGGCGUAAAGCGCGCGCGGGCGGUUGCUGAAGUCGGAUGUGAAAGCCCCCGGCUAAACCGGGGAGGGUCAUUGGAAACUGGGGAACGUGAGUGCAGAAGAGGAGAGUGGAAUUCAACGUGUAGCGGUGAAAUGCGUAGAGAUGUGGAGGAACACCAGUGGCGAAGGCGACUCUCUGGUCGGUAACUGACGCUGAGGCGCGAAAGCGUGGGGAGCGAACAG